rnacentral:rRNA from 1 species
UACGAAGGGUGCAAGCGUUACUCGGAAUUACUGGGCGUAAAGCGUGCGCAGGCGGUUAUGUAAGACAGGUGUGAAAUCCCCGGGCUUAACCUGGGAACUGCAUUUGUGACUGCAUAGCUAGAGUACGGCAGAGGGGGAUGGAAUUCCGCGUGUAGCAGUGAAAUGCGUAGAUAUGCGGAGGAACACCGAUGGCGAAGGCAAUCCCCUGGGCCUGUACUGACGCUCAUGCACGAAAGCGUGGGGAGCAAACAGG